rnacentral:rRNA from 1 species
GACAGAGGGUGCAAACGUUGCUCGGAAUCACUGGGCGUAAAGGGUGCGUAGGCGGUUGGGUAAGUCUGACGUGAAAUCUCCGAGCCUAACUCGGAAACUGCGUUGGAUACUAUCCGGCUAGAGGAAUGGAGGGGAGACUGGAAUACUUGGUGUAGCAGUGAAAUGCGUAGAUAUCAAGUGGAACACCAGUGGCGAAGGCGAGUCUCUGGACAUUUCCUGACGCUGAGGCACGAAAGCCAGGGGAGCAAACGGG